rnacentral:rRNA from 1 species
CCUACGGGUGGCAGCAGUGGGGAAUAUUGCACAAUGGGGGAAACUCUGAUGCAGCGACGCCGCGUGCGUGAAGAAGUAAUUCGUUAUGUAAAGCUCUAUCAGCAGGGAAUAGAAAAGAAGGUACCUGAUAAAGAAGCCCCGGCUAACUACGUGCCAGCAGCCGCGGUAAUACGUAGGGGGCAAGCGUUAUCCGGAUUUACUGGGUGUAAAGGGAGCGUAGACGGAAAGGCAAGUCAGAAGUGAAAGCCCAAGGCUCAACCCUGGGACUGCUUUUGAAACUGUCAAACUAGAGUACGGGAGCGGUAAGAGGAAUGCCUGGUGUAGCGGUGAAAUGCGUAGAUAUUA